UGAACGCUGGCGGCAGGCCUAACACAUGCAAGUCGAGCGGCAGCGGGACCUUCGGGUUGCCGGCGAGCGGCGGACGGGUGAGUAAUGCCUAGGAAUCUGCAGCCUGAUCCAGCCAUGCCGCGUGUGUGAAGAAGGUCUUCGGAUGUAAAGCACUUUAAGUCGGGAGGAAGGGCUGUAGGCGAAUACCCUGCAGUCUUGACGUUACCGACAGAAUAAGACCGGCUAACUUCGUGCCAGCAGCCGCGGUAAUACGAAGGGUGCAAGCGUUAAUCGGAAUUACUGGGCGUAAACGCGCGUAGGUGGUUUGGUAAGUUGGAUGUGAAAGCCCCGGGCUCAACCUGGGAACUGCAUCCAAAACUGCCUGCUAGAGUACGGUAGAGGGUGGUGGAAUUUCCUGUGUAGCGGUGAAAUGCGUAGAUAUAGGAAGGAACCCAGGGCGAAGGCGACCACCUGGACUGAUACUGACACUGAGGUGCGAAAGCGUGGGGAGCAAACAGGAUUAGAUACCUGGUAGUCCACGCCGUAAACGAUGUCGACUAGCCGUUGGGCUCCUUGAGAGCUUAGUGGCGCAGCUAACGCAUAAGUCGACCGCCUGGGGAGUACGGCCGCAAGGUUAAAACUCAAAUGAAUUGACGGGGGCCCGCACAAGCGGGGAGCAUGUGGUUUAAUUCGAAGCAACGCGAAGAACCUUACCUGGCCUUGACAUCCUGCGAACUGGGUAGAGAACCCGGGUGCCUUCGGGAGCGCAGAGACAGGUGCUGCAUGGCUGUCGUCAGCUCGUGUCGUGAGAUGUUGGGUAAGUCCCGUAACGAGCGCAACCCUUGUCCUUAGUUACCAGCGAUUCGGUCGGGCACUCUAAGGAGACUGCCGGUGACAAACCGGAGGAAGGUGGGGAUGACGUCAAGUCAUCAUGGCCCUUACGGCCAGGGCUACACACGUGCUACAUGGUCGGUACAGAGGGUUGCCAAGCCGCGAGGCGGAGCUAAUCCCAGAAAACCGAUCGUAGUCCGGAUCGCAUCUGCAACUCGACUGCGUGAAGUCGGAAUCGCUAGUAAUCGCGAAUCAGAAUGUCGCGGUGAAUACGUUCCCGGCCUUGUACACACCGCCCGUCACACCAUGGGAGUGGGUUGCUCCAGAAGUAGCUAGUCUAACCCUCGGGAGGAGGUUACCACGGAGUGAUUCAUGACUGGGGUGAAG
rnacentral:rRNA from 1 species